CUAUAUUCUUUCAAUUUAAUUCUCUAUACAAUUCACUUCACCAAACCAAACCCAUUUCUCACAUUCAUAUCACUAUCACUCUACGCUAAUUAAUUCUCACUGGUAUAUAGGGUCACAUUGUGAGUUCAACACCUACUACAUGCUUGUGUGUGUGACUUCAUAAUACGGCUAUUCCGUUUCUUCCACACACUAACCACAUCAUUACUAAGAUUUUGGGGGUGAGGGAGGGCUAGCUGCGCAUAUUAUUGCUAUCUGAUCUAAAUGAAAAAUGAAAAUGAAUGUAUUAACUCAUCCAAAGCCAUAAGUAUCUUAAAUUCCUUUGUGAAAAUUUUCCAUAUCUUGUCUGACUGAAAAAAAUUGGAAUUUGAAAACAUACUGCAUUUUUUUUGGGUCGAAAAUGCUGGCUUAUGAAACUUACACCAAUAUUUUUAUCCUUAUGUUAAUGCAAUGACUUGUCAAAUAUUAAAGUGAAAUGUUUGGUUCAAAUUAUGGUAUAUAUAAUUCUAUCCGUACAACCAUUAAUCUGAAAGAGGCUGUCUAUUUUGUUUGAGAAGAUUAUGCCACAGUUCCACCUCCUAGAUUCCCUUCAGUCCAGAGUGAGAUGUCUGAAGUAGGAAAUUCAUUUGUGGAGGAUCAUGCGACAGAUGCUUUAAGACCUCAUAUAUCACAUGGCCUCCUGUUAGCAUCCCAAACUAGCACACCUCGGCUUACUCCUCCAGGUUCCCCUCCUAGCCUCUCUGCGUCAGUGUCCCCAAUAUGAACAUCUAAACCUGUGUCCUCAAGGCAAUAUUCACUGUCAUUUUCAUCAUCAAGAGGCCUAUUUGAUGAUCGGUCUUCAAUGUUUUCUUCUAUAUUCUCAAGCCUUCACAGUUCAGUUUUAAGCUCUGAUUCAGGAUGACAAACUGGAUGAAAGCAGGUUGAUGGGAAAGAGUUCUUCUGCCAAGUAAGCUAAAGACAGUUUUUAGAUCCAAAUGGUGGAAGUAACUUUUCAAAAAACAUCUUUCUAAAUUAUGCAAAAAUCAAGAAUUCAUACAAUGAAUACACACAUCCAAUAUGACUAAAAUGGUGCUUCUUUUGUUGAUGAAAUUCCAUGAGUGCCAUAUUUUGCAGCCUACUUGCAAUCCUGAGGUGGACCAAACUUUUAAGUCCUCUUGUAACUUGAACAUUUUUAUUUAAACAAGAGGUUUGGAUACAGGGGAUAACAUUUAUUUAUACUAUUGCCAAAAGCAAUAGCAGUCCUGGAACCCAAAAUUUAAAAUUUUUUGUGCUUAUGAUUUGGUUCUUGGCUUCUUGCCAUUGAGCUGUAGUUCAAAUGGUUACCCUCCCCUUAAAAGAGUAAUGUUAAGUGUGAAGUUCAAGACCCAAUGGGUUUGUGUAAGUUAUCAAUAAAAGAAAAAGGUUAUUGGCUUCUCAAAUGAAGCAGUUGUUCAUCUGAUCCCUUCUCUUCUUGUCAUCAAGAGCCGUUUGUCUUGUGAUCAUUUUGGUGCCUUUCUAGCCAAUGUUAAGGAAUUGAAUGCCCACAAGCAAACCAACGAGGUAGAUUCUCUCUCUCUCUCCUUUUUUUUUUUUUUUUUCCUUUGUAGUGUCCAACAUCUAUUUAUAUUUCUGGAGACUCUACAGAAGACUGAUAUUUGACCAAGAGAACAAGGACCUUUAUGCUAUAUUUGAGGGAUUGAUUACUCGCAAUGUCCACUGAAAUUGUGUAACGCUAAUGCUGGAAUUGUAAUUACAGCUUGUAAGCAUUGUUGUAUAUUUACUAUAUAUAGUUUC